UACGGAGGGUGCAAGCGUUAUCCGGAUUCACUGGGUUUAAAGGGUGCGUAGGCGGGCAGGUAAGUCAGUGGUGAAAUCUCCGGGCUUAACUCGGAAACUGCCGUUGAUACUAUCUGUCUUGAAUACCGUGGAGGUUAGCGGAAUAUGUCAUGUAGCGGUGAAAUGCUUAGAUAUGACAUAGAACACCAAUUGCGAAGGCAGCUGGCUACACGAAUAUUGACACUGAUGCACGAAAGCGUGGGGAUCAAACAGG
rnacentral:rRNA from 1 species